UAGAUCGAGUGGCAUUCGAUAAAGUUAAAGUGAAAUGACACUAGAGAUAGUGUGAGGUAAAAAAUCAGUGUAUUGUAAAGAAUGAUGAAAAUGACAAUGGUUAACGCUAAAGUAAUGUGGGGAGUAAAGAACAUGAAGUGCUAGAGGUAGCCAAAAGUAAAGAAUGUAAAGAAUAUGAUUGCUAGAGUUAGCAAGAAUAAUGAAUGGUAAA
rnacentral:lncRNA from 1 species